rnacentral:rRNA from 1 species
UCAAGCGAACAAGGGCGCAGGGCGAAUGCCUUGGCACUGGGAGCCGAUGAAAGACGUGAUAAGCUGCGAUAAGCUUCGGGGAGCUGCAAAUAAGCAUUGAUCCGGAGAUUUCUGAAUGAGGAAACUCACCUGGGUUCAUACUCAGGUACGUUAUACUGAACUUCAAAAUAGGUAUAUCGAGGGAACCGCCUGAACUGAAACAUCUAAGUAGGGCGAGGAAGAGACAUCAAACGAGAUUCCGUAAGUAGUGGCGAGCGAACGCGGAAGAGGGCAAACCGAGAGUAGAAAUACUUUCGGGGUACGGACUGCUUUUAGGACUUAAUCUGUUAACCGAACGGCAUGGGAAGGCCGGUCAGAGAGUGUGAGAACCACGUAGGUGAAAACGGAGAGAGCUGCGCAGGAUCCAGAGUACGGCCAGACACGUGAAACCUGGUCGGAAUACGGGGGGACCACCCUCCAACCCUAAAUACUACCCAGUGACCGAUAGCGUAUAGUACUGUGAAGGAAAGGUGAAAAGCACCCCGGGAGGGGAGUGAAAAAGAACCUGAAACCCUGUGCCUACAAGCACCUAGAGCGCGUCAAUGCGUGAUAGGGUACUUUUUGUAGAACGGUCCGGCGAGCGAUUGUAUGCAGCAAGGUUAAGGACUUAAGGUCUGGAGCCGAAGCGAAAGCGAGUUUGAAAAGGGCGUUAAGUUGCAUAUAAUGGGCCCGAAACCGGGUGACCUACCCAUGGUCAGGUUGAAGUGGAAGUAAAAUUCCAUGGAGGACCGAACCGACCUCCGUUGAAAAGGCGGCGGAUGAACUGUGGGUAGCGGAGAAAUUCCAAUCGAACCCGGAGAUAGCUGGUUCUCCCCGAAAUAGUUUUAGGACUAGCCUCAAGUUAGAUACCUGGAGGUAAAGCACUGAAUAGCCUAGCGGCCGAGAGGUUAGCGAAGCUUAUCAAACUCAGAAUGCCAGAGUAUUGAUGCUUGGGAGUCAGACAGUGUCAGAUAAAUGUCAUUGUCAAAAGGGAAACAGCCCAGAUCUACAGCUAAGGUCCCAAAGUCAGGUUAAGUGGAAAACGAUGUGAAGAUACGUAGACAACCAGGAUGUUGGCUCAGAAGCAGCCACUCAUUCAAAGAGUGCGUAAUAGCUCACUGGUCGAGCGUCUUUGCGCGGAGAAUUUAACGGGGCUAAACCUGACACCGAAGCUUAGGCAAUACAGCAAUGUAUUGGGUAGGGGAGCGUUGUAUACGCGGUGAAACAGUAGCGCAAGCGGCUGUGGAGUGUAUAGAAGUGAGAAUGCCGGAAUGAGUAGCGCGAAUGCAGUGAGAAUCUGCAUGGCCGAAAGCCUCAGGUUUCUGGAGGAAGGUUCGUCCGCUCCAGGUUAGUCGGGAGCUAAGGUGAGGCCUAACGGCGUAGCCGAUGCACAGACGGUAGAGAUUCCGUCACCACCAAAAGAGUUAAACACAGGGACACAUAUGAAGUCUCGGAGCCGGGUGUUGGUUCCGGUAGCGAUCGAGGGAAGUUAGUACCGAAGUCCGGGAUGGAAGAUGGCGAGAAAAGCUGUGUGUAUUUCUGCGGUGCCCGUACCGCAAACCGACACAGGUAGGUAGGAAGAAGAUUCUAAGGCCAACGGGAGAAGGGUUGUUAAGGAACUCGGCAAAUUGACCCCGUAACUUCGGGAGAAGGGGUGCUGCAGCAAUGCAGCCGCAGAGAAUCGGCCCAAGCAACUGUUUACCAAAAACACAGGUUUGUGCUAAAUCGAAAGAUGACGUAUACGAGCUGACGCCUGCCCGGUGCUGGAAGGUUAAGAGGAGAUGUGCAAGCAUUGAAUCGAAGCCCCAGUGAACGGCGGCCGUAACUAUAACGGUCCUAAGGUAGCGAAAUUCCUUGUCAGGUAAGUUCUGACCCGCAUGAAAGGCGUAAUGAUUUGGGCACUGUCUCAACAGCCCGCCCGGCGAAAUUGUAGUACCGGUGAAGAUGCCGGUUACCCGCGACAAGACGGAAAGACCCCAUGGAGCUUUACUGUAGCCUAAUAUUGGGUUUCGAUGUUGCAUGCACAGGAUAGAUGGGACACUGGGAAGCAGGUGCUUUGGCGCUUGUGGAGUGGCCGUUGGGAUACCAUCCUUGCGAUAUUGGAAUUCUAACCUGCGCCUUUGAAUCAAGGCGGGGGACAUUGUUAGGUGGGCAGUUUGACUGGGGCGGUCGCCUCCUAAAGAGUAACGGAGGCGUUCAAAGGUUCGCUCAGCUUGAACGGAAAUCAAGCAAAAGAGUGCAAACGCAGAAGCGAGCCUAACUGCGAGACUGACGGGUCGAGCAGUAACGAAAGUUGGAGUUAGUGAUCCGGUGGUAUGUGAGUGGAAAUGCCAUCGCUCAACGGAUAAAAGUUACCCUGGGGAUAACAGGCUGAUCUCCCCCAAGAGUCCACAUCGACGGGGAGGUUUGGCACCUCGAUGUCGGCUCAUCGCAUCCUGGGGCUGUAUUCGGUCCCAAGGGUUUGGCUGUUCGCCAAUUAAAGCGGUACGCGAGCUGGGUUCAGAACGUCGUGAGACAGUUCGGUCCCUAUCUGUCGUGGGCGCAGGAUAUUUGAUGGGAGCUGUUCCUAGUACGAGAGGACCGGAGCGGACGUACCUCUGGCGCACCAGUUGUUCUGCCAAGAGCAUAGCUGGGCAACUAUGUACGGAUCGGAUAAACGCUGAAAGCAUCUAAGCGUGAAGCCGACCCAAAGAUAAGAUAUCCCAUUGUUUCAAACAAGUAAGACCCCUUGAAGACUACAAGGUUGAUAGGCACGAUGUGUAAGUGGAGUGAUCCAUUCAGCAAGCGUGUACUAAUAGGUCGAGGGCUUGACCAC